UGCGUAGGCGGUAAAUCAAGUUGGCAGCGUAAUUCCGGGGGCUUAAACCGCGGAACUACUGCCAAAACUGGUGAACUAGAGUGUGUCAGGGGUAAGUGGAAUUCCUAGUGUAGCGGUGGAAUGCGUAGAUAUUAGGAGGAACACCGGAGGCGAAAGCGACUUACUGGGGCAUAACUGACGCUGAGGCACGAAAGCGUGGGGAGCAAACA
rnacentral:rRNA from 1 species